AUUUAAAUAACUUAAAUUAGAGUGUAAUAUUGAAGAUAUUAAAGUGAUUAUAAAAUCUUUAAAUA
rnacentral:tRNA from 1 species